rnacentral:sRNA from 1 species
GAAAUACAACCUCAUGAGAGUAGUUUAAGACUAAGUAAAUGAUUGUUUGCAUGGGUAAUUAGGUAAUUAACAACUAGUACAACUAGAUAACGGACAAUUCCUUCUGACCCUUAUUAGAUCCACGACAUACGAAAAUUCUUUCUCAUUUUCCAUGCGCUUGAUGAAAAUCUUCAAUAUCUUCUCUGCGUAAAAUCCUGGCGAACGGCUAUAAUUGUACAUCGUUGUAGAUCUCCUACACACUUGCCUCGAUUAAUAUGCAAAUCUGUUAAUAAAUCGGAGUAACUGGGAUUCGAACCCCAGACCUCUCGGUGUAGAAGUAUUAAUGAACCAUUGGUCAACCAUUGGGCCAAUGGGGCUUCCAAACUUAAUAUUCAGCAUCAAUAUAUAUAUUUC